CGGGUGAGUAACACGUGGGUGACCUGCCCUUAGCUCUGGGAUAAGCCUGGGAAACUGGGUCUAAUACCGGAUAUGACCUCAUGACGCAUGUUGUGGGGUGGAAAGCCUUGUGCGGCUAGGGAUGGGCCCGCGGCCUAUCAGCUUGUUGGUGGGGUGAUGGCCUACCAAGGCGACGACGGGUAGCCGGCCUGAGAGGGCGACCGGCCACACUGGGACUGAGACACGGGCCAG
rnacentral:rRNA from 1 species